ACAAGCGGUGGAGCAUGUGGUUUAAUUCGAUGAUACGCGAGGAACCUUACCUGGGCUCAAAUGUAUGUUGACGUAUUCUGAAAGGGAUACUUCUUCGGACAAUAUACAAGGUGCUGCAUGGUUGUCGUCAGCUCGUGCCGUGAGGUGUCGGGUUAAGUCCCAUAACGAGCGCAACCCCUAUCAUUAGUUGCCAUCAGGUCAAGCUGGGGACUCUAAUGAAACUGCCUACGCAAGUAGUGAGGAAGGUGGGGAUGACGUCAAAUCAGCACGGCCCUUACGUCCAGGGCUACACACGUGCUACAAUGGCCGAUACAGAGGGCAGCUACCUGGUGACAGGAUGCAAAUCUCCAAAGUCGGUCUCAGUUCGGAUCGGAGUCUGCAACCCGACUCCGUGAAGUUGGAUUCGCUAGUAAUCGCGCAUCAGCCACGGCGCGGUGAAUACGUUCCCGGGCCUU
rnacentral:rRNA from 1 species